UACAGAGGUCUCAAGCGUUGUUCGGAUUCAUUGGGCGUAAAGGGUGCGUAGGCGGCGCGGUAAGUCGGGUGUGAAAUCUCGGAGCUUAACUCCGAAACUGCAUUCGAUACUGCCGUGCUUGAGGACUGGAGAGGAGACUGGAAUUCAUGGUGUAGCAGUGAAAUGCGUAGAGAUCAUGAGGAAGACCAGUGGCGAAGGCGGGUCUCUGGACAGUUCCUGACACUGAGGCACGAAAGCCAGGGGAGCAAACGGG
rnacentral:rRNA from 1 species